GGGUUGUGAGGUUAAGCGACUAAGCGUACACGGUGGAUGCCCUGGCAGUCAGAGGCGAUGAAGGACGUGCUAAUCUGCGAAAAGCGCCGGCGAGGUGAUAUGAACCCUUGACCCGGCGAUGUCCGAAUGGGGAAACCCAGUGCAAUUCGUUGCACUAUCGUUAACUGAAUACAUAGGUUAACGAGGCGAACCGGGGGAACUGAAACAUCUAAGUACCCCGAGGAAAAGAAAUCAACCGAGAUUCCCCCAGUAGCGGCGAGCGAACGGGGAGCAGCCCGGAGUCUGAAUCAGCUUGUGUGUUAGUGGAACGGUCUGGAAAGUCCGACGGUACAGGGUGAUAGUCCCGUACACGAAAGCACACAUGCUGUGAACUCGAAGAGUAGGGCGGGACACGUGGUAUCCUGUCUGAAUAUGGGGGGACCAUCCUCCAAGGCUAAAUACUCCUGACUGACCGAUAGUGAACCAGUACCGUGAGGGAAAGGCGAAAAGAACCCCGGCGAGGGGAGUGAAAAAGAACCUGAAACCGUGUACGUACAAGCAGUGGGAGCCUCUUUAUGGGGUGACUGCGUACCUUUUGUAUAAUGGGUCAGCGACUUAUAUUCUGUAGCAAGGUUAACCGUAUAGGGGAGCCGAAGGGAAACCGAGUCUUAACUGGGCGUUAAGUUGCAGGGUAUAGACCCGAAACCCGGUGAUCUAGCCAUGGGCAGGUUGAAGGUUGGGUAACACUAACUGGAGGACCGAACCGACUAAUGUUGAAAAAUUAGCGGAUGACCUGUGGCUGGGGGUGAAAGGCCAAUCAAACCGGGAGAUAGCUGGUUCUCCCCGAAAGCUAUUUAGGUAGCGCCUCGUGAACUCAUCUUCGGGGGUAGAGCACUGUUUCGGCUAGGGGGCCAUCCCGGCUUACCAACCCGAUGCAAACUACGAAUACCGAAGAAUGUUAUCACGGGAGACACACGGCGGGUGCUAACGUCCGUCGUGAAGAGGGAAACAACCCAGACCGCCAGCUAAGGUCCCAAAGUCAUGGUUAAGUGGGAAACGAUGUGGGAAGGCACAGACAGCCAGGAUGUUGGCUUAGAAGCAGCCAUCAUUUAAAGAAAGCGUAAUAGCUCACUGGUCGAGUCGGCCUGCGCGGAAGAUGUAACGGGGCUAAACCAUGCACCGAAGCUGCGGCAGCGACACUAUGUGUUGUUGGGUAGGGGAGCGUUCUGUAAGCCGUUGAAGGUGUGCUGUGAGGCAUGCUGGAGGUAUCAGAAGUGCGAAUGCUGACAUAAGUAACGAUAAAGCGGGUGAAAAGCCCGCUCGCCGGAAGACCAAGGGUUCCUGUCCAACGUUAAUCGGGGCAGGGUGAGUCGACCCCUAAGGCGAGGCCGAAAGGCGUAGUCGAUGGGAAACAGGUUAAUAUUCCUGUACUUGGUGUUACUGCGAAGGGGGGACGGAGAAGGCUAUGUCAGCCGGGCGACGGUUGUCCCGGUUUAAGCAUGUAGGCGGAGGUUCCAGGUAAAUCCGGUACCUUAUUAACGCUGAGGUGUGAUGACGAGGCACUACGGUGCUGAAGUGAUAAAUGCCCUGCUUCCAGGAAAAGCCUCUAAGCAUCAGGUAACACGAAAUCGUACCCCAAACCGACACAGGUGGUCAGGUAGAGAAUACCAAGGCGCUUGAGAGAACUCGGGUGAAGGAACUAGGCAAAAUGGUGCCGUAACUUCGGGAGAAGGCACGCUGAUGUGUAGGUGAAGCCCCUGCGGGCGGAGCUGAAAUCAGUCGAAGAUACCAGCUGGCUGCAACUGUUUAUUAAAAACACAGCACUGUGCAAACACGAAAGUGGACGUAUACGGUGUGACGCCUGCCCGGUGCCGGAAGGUUAAUUGAUGGGGUUAGCGGCAACGCGAAGCUCUUGAUCGAAGCCCCGGUAAACGGCGGCCGUAACUAUAACGGUCCUAAGGUAGCGAAAUUCCUUGUCGGGUAAGUUCCGACCUGCACGAAUGGCGUAAUGAUGGCCAGGCUGUCUCCACCCGAGACUCAGUGAAAUUGAACUCGCUGUGAAGAUGCAGUGUACCCGCGGCAAGACGGAAAGACCCCGUGAACCUUUACUAUAGCUUGACACUGAACACUGGUCCUUGAUGUGUAGGAUAGGUGGGAGGCUUUGAAGCGUGGACGCCAGUCUGCGUGGAGCC
rnacentral:rRNA from 1 species